GAGAUCUCAAGCCGGAAACCUGCUCUUAGACAGCAACGGGUACAUCAAACUGGCUGAUUUCGGACUAUGCAAAGACGGAAUUGGCUAUGGGGACAGAACACGCAGCCUGACUGGAACCUAUGACUACAUGGCUCCGAAGUCCUCUCCAGGCUGCCGUAUUCAAGAUCUGCAGAUUGGUGGUCUCUGGGCAUCGUGAUCUUCGAGAUGCUAGUCGGGGACCUACCAUGGAUGAGACCAUCUAUUGGCGUCGUCUGCCCAAAGUUCCUGGCUGAGGAUGCAGCUAUUU